rnacentral:rRNA from 1 species
GAUGAAACGCUGGCGGCGUGCUUAACACAUGCAAGUCGAACGGGAAACUUUUUCAUUGAAGCUUCGGCAGAUUUGGUCCGUUUCUAGUGGCGGACGGGUGAGUAAACGCGUGGGUAACCUGCCUUAUACAGGGGGAUAACAACCAGAAAUGGUUGCUAAUACCGCAUAAGCGCACAGGACCGCAUGGUCCGGUGUGAAAAAACUACCGGUGGGUAUAAGAAUGGACCCCGCCGUUGGAUUAGCUAGUUGGCAGGGUAACGGCCUACCAAGGCGACGAUCCAUAGCCGGCCUGAGAGGGUGAACGGCCACAUUGGGACUGAGACACGGCCCAGACUCCUACGGGAGGCAGCAGUGGGGAAUAUUGCACAAUGGGGGAAACCCUGAUACAGCGACGCCGCGUGAAGGAAGAAGUAUCUCGGUAAUGUAAACUUCUAUCAGCAGGGAAGAUAGUGACGGUACCUGACUAAGAAGCCCCGGCUAACUACGUGCCAGCAGCCGCCGU